AGGCAUCAAUACUUUUAUUUACCGUUUUCUUUUAAGAGGAUUAUGCAUCGCGAUGGAUUGGUAUCUAGCAUACAUCUUUAUCAUGAGGUUUUCUUCUCAAUGACGAUUCUAACUGCUGUAUGAGUUCAUUAAAGAAGAGAAUGUUGUUUGCUGGUUUUACAGCGGCAAAGAAGACAAUAAUACAGAACUGGUUUACUCCGCACAUGUGAGCAAAAACACAUGUACAAAAUGUACAACAGCACAAAUCAACAAGGCUAAACCCAGUACCACUGAUGCAUGGCAAUAUUUUUCUUCCAACAUUUUGGACUAUAUAUAGGAAUGAAAAUAUAAUGUAUUUUUUUUCUCUCUCUCUCUUCCCCUUUCAGAUUGUAAAAUUAUUGAUAAUAUGUCUGUUGCUCUCCCUUCCCCAUUUUUUCUUUUUUUUUUGUUUGAAUGGAUGUUUUGUUAAAUCUAUAGACAAUAAAAAAUUGAUCACAAAAAACAAAACAAACAAACAAAAAAAAAAAAACAGCACAACACCUUCAGUCUUUUAAAGACAACUUCAACAAGGGUGUGUAAGCCUAAUAGAGGGAUGAACAAACAGAAAGUCCAGGGUGGUGCAGGUGGAGGAACUGACCAGGGGAUGGUCUUGAACAAGAACAGACAGAUGCUGACCCAGACCACAGCCAGGACUAAGUCGUCUCAAGCUGGUUUUGUGAUCUUGACAAUCAGUUCAAUGUUCUUCAGUGGCCUUCAAGAUCACAGAUCUGAAUCCAACAGAAAACCUUUGGUACAAUAAGAGAUCUGCAGAUAUUAUGGGAUUCAAUCAUGUCAACAUGGAGCAGAAUCCAGAAACCAUCUUGGAAACCUUUUAUCACGCCUUCAUUAUUAGUUUUUACUGCUUUGUAAAUGUGUUUUUAUCUUAUAUCUUAGAUUUUUUUACACUCUUGUCCCAGACUCAAACGUUCAGUCUAAGCCUGUGAAAAUCCAUCAAAGAUAUCUUAAUAUUACUACAUUUUAAAUCUAUGAUGACCUAAUAAACAAAGAGUGAAAUAAACUGAAACAAAUAUUCAAAAAUGAUGAUCAUAGUUUCAGCAUCAUUUCCAACUGUUUAAGAGACAAUAGUGUCAGUGGAGAUGAUUGAGAUUAAAUAUGAGACAUGUGAUGUAUGUGGAAAACAGAGAAAUAAACAUAAAUAUCAGUUAUGAAUGCAAUAUUUGUACUGAUUAUGAUCAUGAUGAAAAAUGAGGCUUAUUGCAGAAUUAACAGUGAUUAACAAUAAAACAUCUAAACUAAAUUUGCAGAUGAUUCCAUUCAUUUCCAUAAUAAUAUACUGGACAAUGAAUAAUAAUUAUGUAAAUGUACAUUGUUCAGUAAUCACAUAAAUGUACACUGUUCUUAAAGAGACAUCUUCACUAUGGUGUAUAAAUACACUGAUGACUUUGAUGCCAUCACUGAUCAGUCUGACAGUUGAACUGAGUUUGUUAUGAACUGUAACAUGACGACACAUUCAGUCAGCUGCAGUAUCUCAGUAAAGGCUGUUGAACUGAACUGUUAGACGCUCCAUUACUGACACUGCAGUUCCACACAGUAGAAGAGCACAGUGUGUUUUAAUGCUGCUGGAGCUCAUGGAUGUUGUUCAGUACCAGAGAACUGAGAAAUCUUCCACCCUGAACACUGAUAUUGUGUCAUUCAGAAACACAAUUAAACCAAAGAGCUGCUGCAGUUUAUUACAUCAACUAAUAAUGAGCCCAGAACAGUGUAGAAUGAAUGAUAGAAAGUGUUCAGUGACCUUACAAAAUAUUAAUAAUGACCAAAUCAAUAAUAUACAGGAUUCUGUCAAUAGACUUCAGAAAUGUGUGUAUAAUUGUUUGACAUGUUUCACAACAUGAGGAAGUUGUUGGAAAAUGUGUUUGUGACUGAUCUACAGUCUUCAGGAUAAUGAUUUAAAUAGAGAGAGUCACUUUGCAUUGUCACACAUGCUUCAGUGCUCUGAGAGUGUUUAUAGUGCUGUGAGUUUAACACUUCAUGACUGAGAGCAGAACAGAACACAAUCUUCACCAUCACACAAGACAAAAGAACAACAAUGAACACAAUCACCUUCUUCAUCUGGACAUUGAUCUGUAU